UUAACACGCAAACGCACACACACGUAGCUAUACCUUCAGUUCCACAAAGUUUAUUGACACACCGGUUAAAUCAAUGGAUUAUCUUAGAAGGGAUUGCUGAAAUAGCAUAUCUACUUGCACAAUGUAGUGUGAAGUUCAUCCUUUUACAAACGACACGUCUGUUUACUUCCGGUCAACUCAACAGUUGCCCACGCGUCCAACCUCAAUGAUCACUGAACACAGCUAAUUUGAUUAUCACUGUUAGCUUGUGCAUACUGUUAGCUAAUAGUAUUUACCGAUCGUUUUCGAUCAUCAGAAAAGAGAAAGACCAGUGGCUAACUGCACAAAUCAGACGGACAUGGAUGGCGAGGGUGGAAUGGAUGUGUCCUGUAACCACGACUACUGUACAGUCCCCGAGCCUACUGCAGUUGACCUGUCUUUCAGCGCGGGGGUGUGAAAUGGAGGAAGAAAUCCAAAAACUGCGGAAGCAGCCCUGUCCAUGGUUCGAUUAAACAGAAAAUACCUCGCCUGCAGUUUCUCAGACACACCCCAGAGACGUGCUUCCAUGACUACCCAACCGCUCUACUCUAUCCGGUAAACAACACAACAGGCCUCGCCUACGACCCGACCAGGGAAAGACUCACCUGGACAUGUGCCCUUUCGAAAGGGAUAGUCUGCAAGUGGGCCUGCAGCGUCUCGCAGGUGCCUGACGCAGGUGCAGUUAGACGACAGCGUGCUGUCCCCAUCCAUUUCUUUCACAAUCUCCUCCCGUCCAGGCCUCCCAGCCCCCGUCCACCCCUCACCAGC